rnacentral:rRNA from 1 species
CCUUAGUGGCGCACGGGUGAGUAACGCGUGGGAACCUACCCUGGAGUGGGGAAUAACUACUGGAAACGGUAGCUAAUACCGCAUAAUCCCUGAGGGGGAAAGGCUUCGGCCGCUCCUGGAUGGUCCCGCGUCCGAUUAGCUAGUUGGUAAGGUAAUGGCUUACCAAGGCGACGAUCGGUAGCUGGUCUGAGAGGAUGAUCAGCCACACUGGAACUGAGACACGGUCCAGACUCC